rnacentral:rRNA from 1 species
GCGGUGGAGCAUGUGGUUAAUUCGACGCAACGCGAAGAACCUUACCAGGGCUUGACAUCCCCUGACCGCGUAUGAAAGUACGUUUUCACCCUCGGGUGACAGGGAGACAGGUGGUGCAUGGUUGUCGUCAGCUCGUGUCGUGAGAUGUUGGGUUAAGUCCCGCAACGAGCGCAACCCCUACGUUUAGUUGCUAACAGGUGAAGCUGAGCACUCUAGACGAACUGCCGUUGACAAAACGGAGGAAGGUGGGAUGACGUCAAAUCAUCAUGCCCCUUAUGUUCUGGGCUACACACGUGCUACAAUGGCCGGUACAGACGGAGGCGAAGCCGCGAGGCGGAGCAAAUCCGAAAAAGCCGGUCUCAGUUCGGAUUGCAGGCUGCAAUUCGCCUGCAUGAAGUCGGAAUCGCUAGUAAUGGCGGAUCAGCAUGCCGCCGUGAAUACGUUCCCGGGUCUU